ensembl:snoRNA SNORD57 small nucleolar RNA, C/D box 57
UGGAGGUGAUGAACUAUCUUACCCUGACCAUGUAGUGUGGAGGCAAAAAAACUGAUUUAAUGAGCCUGAUCC